GGUUAAGUUAGAAAGGGCGCACGGUGGAUGCCUUGACACUAGGAGUCGAUGAAGGACGGGACUAACGCCGAUAUGCUUCGGGGAGCUGUAAGUAAGCUUUGAUCCGAAGAUUUCCGAAUGGGGAAACCCACCAUACGUAAUGGUAUGGUAUCCUUAUCUGAAUACAUAGG
rnacentral:rRNA from 1 species